UCCAGACUCCUACGGGAGGCAGCAGUGAGGAAUAUUGGUCAAUGGCCGAGAGGCUGAACCAGCCAAGUCGCGUGAGGGAUGACGGCCCUACGGGUUGUAAACCUCUUUUGCCGGGGAGCAAAGAGCGGGACGCGACCCGCCUCGAGAGUACCCGGAGAAAAAGCAUCGGCUAACUCCGUGCCAGCAGCCGCGGUAAUACGGAGGAUGCGAGCGUUAUCCGGAUUUAUUGGGUUUAAAGGGUGCGCAGGCGGAAGCGCAAGUCAGGGGUAAAAUCGCGGGGCUCAACCUCGCUCCGCCGUUGAAACUGGCGUUCUUGAGUGGGCGAGAAGUAUGCGGAAUGCGUGGUGUAGCGGUGAAAUGCAUAGAUAUCACGCAGAACUCCGAUUGCGAAGGCAGCAUACCGGCGCCCAACUGACGCUGAAGCACGAAAGCGUGGGUAUCGAACAGGAUUAGAUACCCGCGUACG
rnacentral:rRNA from 1 species